rnacentral:rRNA from 1 species
CGCUGGCGGCGUGCUUAACACAUGCAAGUCGAGCGGUAAGGCCCUUCGGGGUACACGAGCGGCGAACGGGUGAGUAACACGUGGGUGAUCUGCCCUGCACUUCGGGAUAAGCCUGGGAAACUGGGUCUAAUACCGGAUAUGACCUUCGGCUGCAUGGCUGAGGGUGGAAAGGUUUACUGGUGCAGGAUGGGCCCGCGGCCUAUCAGCUUGUUGGUGGGGUAAUGGCCUACCAAGGCGACGACGGGUAGCCGACCUGAGAGGGUGACCGGCCACACUGGGACUGAGACACGGCCCAGACUCCUACGGGAGGCAGCAGUGGGGAAUAUUGCACAAUGGGCGAAAGCCUGAUGCAGCGACGCCGCGUGAGGGAUGACGGCCUUCGGGUUGUAAACCUCUUUCAGCAGGGACGAAGCGAAAGUGACGGUACCUGCAGAAGAAGCACCGGCCAACUACGUGCCAGCAGCCGCGGUAAUACGUAGGGUGCAAGCGU